UCCCGGUGAUGACCAACACAAUAGAUGACGAGUCCGAUCAAUCCAUUCUUUAAAUCAUGGGGACAAUCGAGGCAUUUGUCUGAGAGGA
rfam:Brassica napus, WGS project CCCW01000000 data, contig: 18475